CGCGUAGGCGGACUGACCAGUCAGAGGUGAAAUCCCGGGGCUCAACCUCGGAACUGCCUUUGAUACUGUUAGUCUAGAGUGCAGUAGAGGGAGGUGGAAUUCCAGGUGUAGCGGUGAAAUGCGUAGAGAUCUGGAGGAACACCAGUGGCGAAGGCGGCCUCCUGGACUGACACUGACGCUGAGGUGCGAAAGCGUGGGGAUCAAACA
rnacentral:rRNA from 1 species